GAAAUGCGAUAAGUAAUGUGAAUUGCAGAAUUCAGUGAAUCAUCGAAUCUUUGAACGCACAUUGCGCCCGGCAGUACUCUGCCGGGCAUGCCUGUCCGAGCGUCAUUUCAACCAUCAAGCCCUCGGCUUGUGUUGGGGGACUGCGGCUGCCGCAGCCCCCUAAGAGCAGUGGCGGGCUCGCCAUCCACGCAGAGUGUAGUAGUCACAUCUCAUUCUGGCGGUGGCGGCGUGUCCCGGCCGUUAAACCCCCUCUCAUCAAGGUUGACCUCGGAUCAGGUAGGAAUACCCGCUGAACUUAA
rnacentral:misc_RNA from 1 species